CUCCCGCCCGGCCGCGCUGGCGGCCGCAGUCCUCGGUGGGGCCGCUACCUCGGGGCAGCGCCGGGCCGGGCGGGGAGAGACCCGCCGCCGGCUCCUCCUCCCGGGAGGCGCCGCCGCGCCGGGGGGGGGGGGGGCGGGCGCGGGCCGGCGGCUCCCGAGGGACUGCCAGCCCGCCCGUGCCCCCGCGGCCGGCAGGGCCGCCCUCGAGGGGGCUGCCGGCACGGGCGACCCCGGCACGGCCGGUCUCGCCCCGCGCCCCCCGCACCGGGCACGGCCGGCCCGCCGGGCUGUGCGGUGAGGCCGCGGCCGGCGGUACAGGCAGCCCCGCACCCACCGAACAGCGGCCCUUGCCGUCGGGGGCAGUUGCGGUCCCUCCGCAAACCUGGCGGAUGACGCCCUGCCGACAAGCGCACCUUGGGGGGAGCGGUUUUUCCCUUCCUUUCUCGAUCAAGCCCACCGAAAUACUCCUGUUCAUCUGAAACACGAUGCCUCGGUAGUCAUUGGUGGUUGGUAAGAGUUGCUACACAUCUUCCGCAAAAAAACCACCCUAUCUAAAGUAUAGCUAUACCAAAGGCAGAGCAAAGUCACUCCUGAUGGCACUCUGCAUAGGUUUGGCCAGACUCACAACCCAUUGCUGCUUUCUUACAGGUAACAACAAUAAUUCUCUGAGGAUGAUAUAUUGAAAAUUGUAUUUUUGCUUAUUCAGAUGGCUUACCUCUCGUUUCCAUGGGUGGUGUGUACUAUGCUGUUUCGACAAUACUGCUAUGUUUUGGCAUGGAUAUAUUUCUGCGGUGGCUGACUGAUAAAUAAUUCCCUAUAUUACUUCUUGGAAUAAUUUGAUGACUAAACAUCCUAUUAUGAGCUAACACUGUGUUUUCUUUGCAAAUAGCAAACAUGUAAUUGGAGCAGUAAUGGACACACGGCUUUCAUGACAAAAAAAGACACUGAGGUGCUGGAGCAUGUCCAAAGAAGAGCAAUGAUGCUGGUGAAGGGUCUGGAGCACACGUCGAUUGAGGAGCGGCUGAGGGAACUGGGGCGGUUUAGCCUGGAGAAAAGGAGGCUCAGGGGAGACCUUAUGGUUCUCUACAACUACCUGAAAGGAGGUUGUAGUGAGGUGCAUGUUGGUCUCUUCUCCCAAGUAACAAGGAAUAGGACAAAAGGAAAUGGCCUCAAGUUGUGCCAGGUGGAGUGGGUUAGAUUGGAUGUUGGAUGUUAGGAAAAAUUUCUUCACUGAAAGGGUUGCCAAGCAUUGGAAUAGGCUGCCCAGGGAGGUGAUUAAGUCACCAUCCUGGAGGUGUUUACAAGACAUGUAGAUGUGGCACUUAGGGACAUGGUUUAGUGGUGGGCUUGGCAGUGCUAGUUAAUGGCUCGAGUUGAUGAUCUUAAAGGUUUUUUCCAUCCUAAAUGAUUCUAUGGUUCUGUAAGGCUGCUCACUGUCUCAUUUUUAAUAGGCAGGCAGGAGCGGGAAUCUGUCAAAACUGACCAUGCUCAGUGCUGGACUGAGCAGUCACUAAGCUCCUAGAGCCCUGUACUUCUGUCAAAAACUAUUUUCCCUUGAAAAAGGUAUGGCUUCUGCCAUAAUCUACACACAGAAAAACCCAAUGAUGUGAUCUGGUGCAGUUGCAUCUGCCAGUUUUUGAAGCCUGAAGAACAACUCUGAGAUAAGAGAACAACCCAGCAGUAAGUACUGCUACAUCUGGAAAGAAAUCACUGUUGUUACGUGGUUCUCUGGAGCAGAUGUUGUGUAUGCCCAUGCCUCCUCCAAGUCCAAUGAAAUGAGUACUGGGUCACAGUCCUUGGAUAAGGCUGUAAGCACAAAAUUAUGCAACACUUUCAGUAAAAUAUUUCCAGUUUCUCAGCUUGUCUUAACCUAACCUUACAUGCUCCAAAUUAAAUCUUAAAUAUCUGGAUCUUUUAUGCAGAAUUGAGCAUUCUGACAAUGCUUAACACUCAGAGCCAGAAUCAGACUGGUAUUUUACAUUUCAGUGUGGUAUUUCCAAUGUACCCUUCAGAGCUAUAAAUCUCAGCUUCUGAGGCUGAGUGCUUAAGAAAUUAAACUGUGCUUGAGUGAGCAUAGAGAGAAUUCUGCUGCAAUAUGUAAUAUAUUCAACUUCUUAGACAUGAGGGCAAAGUUUACAUUGACUUACCGUGUCUUACACAGUAAGUCAAAGUAGCAAAUCUUCAGGUAGCCUUAACAGGUUUUCUAAAGCAAAUAUAGCAGGUUUAGAUGUGAUCACAGUACCUCCUGUGCAAUAAAGAACUCUGACAUCUGACUGAAGCUUCUGAUAUAAAUCAGUUUCUUCAAAUAAGCUUUAAAGCACAUGAUCUCCUUUGCUGGACUGUGAAAUGUAGGUUACUAACAGGGUAACUAACUAAGUAUCAUAAGGUUAAAGGCUGUCUUGGUGGGUUGUUGGACAGCCUUUAAAAGGAUUAUGUGACUCAGUGCCUUGUUGGGAAUUUUCAAAAAACCACACUUCUUCUGUGGCUCAAGGUCAUAGUCAGGCAUUUAAGUUCCAUUGUAAUGAAUGGGGCAAGCUCCCAGCAAAGCAUCAAUCUAUUCUGAAAAAACAAUCAGUGUUUUUGAGUUGCUAGUAUAUUUGUGGAACUAUUAAUAUGAGGACUGUAAGUCACAUCUGCUUUAUGCAAUGCAGUGCUGUAUACUGCUCUCCAAAAGACCAAGUAGUACAUCAGAGGAAUACACACACAGAGGGCUGAGAUUCUCUCAUACCUAUAAGCAAACACAUUCAGGCAUACAGCCUGAGCCUUGGUGUUUUACCUGCGGUGGGUUUUAACGGUUUGAAUUUCAAAAGCUGUAUUGAAAUCAGAUUUUGAAGGUCUCUGGAUUGCUUUUGGCAGGAAUAUUCCGUAAGGAUACUUAACCCAGCAUGUUACUGUUUUGUGAUGGCCACUACACAUUGCGAAUUCCCACGUGUGGGACAAGGCGGCAAGUUUUCUGGUUGUCUGCGUUAUUAAAGGCAUGAGGAUGAUAGAAUUCUUUUAAUUUAAAUUUAAUUUGAAGCAGCAGCUGUAAUGUCUUGAUUACUUGCUGUGGACAGGAAUACUUUAGCAGUAUACAGUGUAAACAAGCUACCAGGACGAACACAAGUUAGAUUGAGCAUCUUGGGGAAGCUUUAGGGGCCUUGUUCAUAAGCCAGCGGAAGAUAGCUAUGCUGAUACAGAAAGGUUAGUCCAGUGAAUGCAGAUCACACAAAACUAUGCCUUAGUCCAUAUGUAACUCUUGUCAGUUCAAGGUCAGUCUCUGGAUCAUGCUGGUGUCUGACUGGGUGGAUGACCCUUGCAAGGGGAAGGGUGUUCUUGCAGUUCUUGGCUUGGUUCCCAGUGUGAUUGGCUGUUGCAGUAGAUCAUUUAGUGCCCUUGCCUUCAGACAGAAACCAUGGCUAGGCUGCUGUCAAACGUGCCCCUGUGGGUUCAGCAUCACCUGAGCAAGUCAUCAUCAGGACAAUGUAAGGGACAGCCAUAAUCAAAUGCUCAUAUGAAUGGUGAGCUAUUCUUUUAUUGUAAAAAAUUAAACUUGCUCUGGAAUCUGUAACAAUCACAACAUGCCUGCAUACUGAUUUGUGUGCUAAUUCAUAGGUUGAAUAUCCUGCACUCCUGCUAGUUGGUUAUUGUGCUCCUUUUGUCUAAGCUUACAUAGUCAUUCUUCCCUUCUCCUGUUAUCUGAUUCUGAUGGAGUUGCAUAAAUUUGUGGAAUUUUUUUGUGUCUAUGCUGUGAAUUGCAGAGGCAAUGCUUUAUUGAAAUUGGAAAGGCUUCCGAUGCUGAGUGCUUAUGAGGUGGGUCCUGGAGGGUAGGAGGAUUUGGUGCAUAUGUUAUACAACAGUUUUUGUUCCUCAGACUGGUGUCACUGCUCAGUUUUUAGAUUGAUGGACAGUGGAGGACGGUCACUGUGCUGGAGCUCUACAGCAGGGAGUAAAUUCACUACUGCCUUUCCUUUCCUCUGUAUGGGUUCCACAGAAAAGUUCUCAUGGCAGCCAGUGAAACUGCUUUCCAGCAGUGUUGAACUGUGACCGACUGCCUUAAUGAAAAGUAAAACAUGAGAAGAACCAAGAAGUUGAAUGAACAUAGCUUUAUAAAAUGUCAAAAAAAUGCGCUACACAAACAGAAGCAGUUAAAUAUUGCAGCACUGAAUCUCUUGCAUGUUGUAAGUAUCUAGGUCUUGUAGUCUGUUCCCUUCCGCUCUUAGCUUUAAAAAUUGACUUUGAAACUGGAGAAUUUACACUUUGAGUACUUUCUUUUGUAGAUGGUUUCUGCUAAGUUGUCAGGAUCUGCAUGACUGUUUAAUCCCAAAUGCCAAUCUUACACUGUACUUCUAAAGUAACCACAUGGGUCAGAAAAUUCUUACAGCCAGCUUUGAUUGAUCUAAGUGACUUGUGAUUUCUCCCAUGAUAUUGUUUGAUCUGAAGUGAAGAAACAUAUUAGAAAACUCCUGCAUAUGCAGUUUUAAAAAAAAGUUAUGCCAAGAGUAUGCAGAAACUUCUCUGUUUAUGUGUCUCUACAAAAUUACAAUCAGGUGCCUUUAAUUAAGGGAUUUAACUCCCCUUGUUGUCUUGAUACAAGCAGUUCAUAUAAUAAAAAACUGUUGUCUUCCAUGAGACAACAAAACAACAACAAACCAACCCAAAUUGUAUCUAUUCAUAUCCUACCAGUAAUUUUGCUAUGAUUUGAUAGCUUUGAUUAGUGUGUGAGGUGCAGAAAGUUUUGUCUAGUUUGCAGAAAGCAUGACUGAGGUUUACAUUUUAAUUUGGAAAGCUUCACCUGUUUUCCCCUGAAUAUACCAAUGCACCAGCAGCUUUGUUUUGCUUUUGUUUUUUGCUGAAUGUAACCUGUGUGGUUUAAAAUACAUAUAUUUGCAAAUAGUUUGCAAACUGAGAAAUCUUACGAGGUUAAAGGAUUUGUCUCUGUUCUUCUGGAGCCACUACAGGUCUUUUUUGUUUGACAGAGUGACUAUUUUUUUGUUAAAGCUCUGUUCUCUCCUAGUGCACGCAUCUCCUGAGUCUCUUGGCUCACAGAUGCACUUUGUAGAAUUUCAUGUGUCAUGAUGGAAAUUGAGCAUACUGGGCAUGAUACGAAUUCAAACUGUGAAUUUUCUGAGAUAAGCCAUUCUUUGAUUAGUUUCCUACUCUGAAGUUCAGCCAAAAUGAGCUGGGGUAUUUCCAUUGUCUUCUGCAUACUUUAAGGUACACUUGUAUACUUUGGGUUGGAACUGAAACUCCUAGACUACCAAAUAUGAUAGUUUAGAAAUUAGUGCCUAUAAAUGCAGUCAUUGUGAAUUCAGAAUACUUCACCACCAGGAGGCAUGCAGCACCUGCUGGGCAGUAGACAUAGCUCCUGGGGAAAGUGAGUAGUUAAAGCAUCAUUCUUUAUUUCUUUUAUUUAUCGUAAUGCUCUGGGUAAAGCUGUACUACAUCACACUGUAAGAUUAACUAAUAAAAUGAUGUGAUUAUAGUUCCUCUAAUGCAAAAAUGGUGUAAAUAUAUAUAGAUAUAUGCCUGAAUAAAUUAUCUUUAAUGAUUUAAUGUAUCAGUUGGAAUUGAAAUAGCAUAGUCGUUCAACAGCUAAUACCAUCUUUAACCAUUUGACAAUUGCUAAUUAUUAUUAGCCAGUGUCUUGGGUAAAAAUAAGUGAGCCCAGAGGGGUGGUGUGUUGUCACUUACAAAUCUAUAAACCUGUGUAACCUAUAAGUACAUUGUAGUGGUUAAAUGAAGAUGUUCUGGUAGUUUGUUAAUAAGAAUCUUAAAACUCAUCUACCAGCCAACUGAAAACAAACAAAAAGCUGAUGCAUGACACAUCAUUUUUGCUUGUGAUGAAGUAAGAAUUUGUCAUCUCAUGAGAUGGUCCUACAUGUUGGCCUUUAAUUAAUCUUUUAAAUAGCUGAAAAACCAGACAGCCCCCCCCCCCCCCCCGCCCCCAACCCAAUCAACCCUCUGCUCAAAGAAGGAAAAAGGUACGGCAUGGUAAAAGAAACAA